rnacentral:piRNA from 1 species
UGUCAAGGAGAUCAAAGGGACGCAGG